rnacentral:rRNA from 1 species
UACGUAGGGGGCGAAUGUUACUCGGAAUUAUUGGGCGUAAAGGGUACGUAGGCGGCUGGUCAAGUCUGGGGUCAAAGGCCACAGCUCAACUGUGGGAAGGCCCUGGAAACUGACCGGCUAGAGUGAGGUAGGGGUUGCGGGAAUUCCCGGUGUAGCGGUGAAAUGCGUAGAGAUCGGGAAGAACACCUGAGGCGGAAGCGCGCAACUGGGCCUCAACUGACGCUGAGGUACGAAAGCUAGGGGAGCGAAUGGG